UAAGCAAGUUGAAUAGUCGCGUAUAGCAAAGUCGAAAGACAGCGUACGAGGAAAGUCCGGGCUCCACAGAGCAAAGAUGCAAGAUAACGUCUUGUGAGGGUAACCUUAAGGAAAGUGGAACAGAAAUAUACCGCCUCUUUAUAGAGGUAAGGGUGAAAUGGCAGGGUAAGAGCCUACCGCACUUUUGGUGACAAAGGUGGCAAUCUAAACCCCAUCUGGAGCAACACCGGGACUAGGAGGCUAAGACUGCUCGUCAUCUCCUUAAUCUGGUGGCUUUGAGUCUUAUAGUGAUAUAAGAAGUAGAUAAAUGACUAUUCAUGACAGAACCCGGCUUAUAGAUUUACUUACAUU
rnacentral:RNase_P_RNA from 1 species